UUUCAAAGAUUUCACACUGGACCCGUACAAUGUGAGAAACAGUCCCAAAGUAAAUGGGUUCGUAGCAGGAAUGUGAGAGGAUGUGACGCUUCCACGGAAAUACGAAUCCAGAAAUAGGCGUAGGGAAAUAAGGAAAGUUGGAGAUAUCCCGAGUUUGACAGGCCCUGGGGAUACCCAGAGAGAUAGCAGGAGGGCGUCGUGAUCAGGGCCUGGGCUUCAGUGGCGUCAGAACAGCUGGGGUUAAAAUCGGGGCGUCGUCGUGUAAAGUGAGGUGCUGGGAGCGAGUGCGUUUCAAGGAAGAGCUCGAAAAGAAAAGGCAUAGAAGCCCACGGAAAAGCAUUUAAAAACGAACGGGGAUAAAAUUCUAAUUCUCUGUCUUCCCGCCGUCUAAAGAACCUCAGCGCUGGUUCACGUGGAACAGAGGCCCGUCCUGUCUCCCCUCUACCUGCCCAGGGGUAAACGGGUGAGGGGACGCCGCCGCGGGAAAAACACCUCACAGCUAGGGGAGGAAGGCGAAUCCGGCCUCGCAGGGUGGGAUCCAGAGCCCCUCCACCUCCAGGAGACCCAGCCCCGCAGCUAUUUGUACCCACCCGGGCACCCCCCGGAGCGCCUCCCCGCCACGCGCCAACGCUCGCGCCGCCAAGGCGGCCCUAGCACGCAUGUGCGCUCCUCCGACCGUUGACGGCGCGCGCGGCCUGCCGGGACCCAGCCCGCCCCAUCCCCCACCGCUCUGAUUUACUGAUGCUUGCGCACUUAUUGCGGGCCAAAAAAGAGACAGGGCGACCUUUGUUUUCCAUAUCGCAGACCAAAGGGUUGUUAAAAAACCUUUAAAACGAUGCAAAAUGGAGGGCCACUUUGGAAAACAUUGCAGUACGCCCUCAAGGACUAAACAGUUAAUGUAGAACACACACUACCAUGUACAGAUGCCCACCGAAGAGAAGCGAAAAUAGGUCCACACCGAAACUAAGAAAGGAACAGUCCCAAAGUGGACACCUGUAUCUGAUGGAGUAGUGGCUAACUUGGUGUAGCCAUACAAUGGAAUAUUGGGCCAUAAAAAAGGAAUUAAGAAAUAAUACGUGCAACAAGGAUGAGCAUCGAAAACUGGAUAAUCCUAGCUCCACGUGCCAUUCAGCUUCCUGCUAAUACACACCCUGGAAGGCGGCAGCUUCUUGCUAAUGGACACCCUGGGAGGAAGCAGAUGGUGAUACAAGCACUUGGAUUCACACCACCCACUUGGUAAAUACACUGAUGUGAGUCCUUUAUGAUGCAGACUACUUGGCACAUGUAAUUAAAAACUUCAUGCAAUCUAUUGGAUUUUGGAAAGACUCCUACUGACUGCUAGAAACAUUCACCGUUGAAACACUGAAGCUUAGUACGGUAGAGUUACAGACAGUGAGAGGUAGAGACAGCGAGAGAAGUCUUCCUUCCAUUGUUUCACUCCCCAAAUGGCCGCAACGGGCGGAGCUACGCCAAUCCGAAGCCAGCAGCCAGGAGCCAGGAGCCAGGAGCCAGGAGCUUCUUCCUGGUCUCAUACGCGGGUACAGGGGCCCAAGGACUUGGGGCCAUCUUCUACUGUUUUCCCAGGCCACAGCAGAGCUGGAUCGGAAGAGGAGCAGCCGGGACUAGAACUGGCGCCCAUAUGGGAUGCCGGCACCACAGGUGGGGAGGAUUAACCAAGUGAGCCACAGCGCUGGCCCCCAUAAUUAUUAUUUUUCAAAGACUUAUUUAUUUAUUUGGAAAGUAGAGUGACAAGAGAUCUUUCAUCUGCUGGUUCACUCUCCAAACAGCUAUCAAAGCCAAGGCUGAGUGAGGCUGAAUUCAAGAGUCAGAAACUCCAUCGGAGUCUCCCAUAGGGGUGUCAGGGGACCAAGUACUUGAGCCAUCAUCCGCUGCCUUUCCAGGCACAAUAGCAGGAAGCUGGAUUAGAAGCAGAGCAGGCUGGACUUGAACUGGCACUCUGAUACUGGGACGCUGGUACUGCAAGCAGUAGCCUGACUGCUGUGCCACACACCAGCCCCUCUAGGACAAUCACUGACCUCCUAAUUUCUUUUCUUUUCUUUUUUUUGGACAGGCAGAGUGGACAGUGAGAGAGAGAGAGAGAAAGAGAGGAAGGUCUUCUUUUGCUGUUGGUUCACCCUCCAAUGGCCGCUGCGGCUGGUGCAGCACGCUGAUCCGAAGCCAGGAGCCAGGAGCUUCUCCUGCUCUCCCAUGCGGGUGCAGGGCCCAAGGACUUGGGCCAUCCUCCACUGCACUCCUGGGCCAUAGCAGAGAGCUGGACUGGAAGAGGGGCAACCGGGACAGAAUCCAGUGCCCCGACUGGGACUAGAACCUGGGGUGCCGGGGCUGCAGGUGGAGGAUUAGCCUAUUGAGCCGCAGCACUGGCCAUGACCUUCUAAUUUCUUUACUGUUAUGUAUUUGUUUACAAACUUUUCCAACACUGUUAAUACUAUAAAGUAUGUUCUUUGAUGUAACAUUUUGCUUUAAAAAUUGUAUUUAGAUGAAACAGUUCCAUAAGUAGAUUUAAUAAAUCCAUCUAACACGAACAUUUUUUACAAUACUAUCUUAAUGUUUUCCAAAAAGGACAUAAUAGUUUAUAUUACCAUUAAAAAUGUUUGCCUAUUUCUUGUUUUAUAUCAAUCUAGAAAAAACUAUGCAAUAU